rnacentral:rRNA from 1 species
GGAACUCUGAUGCAGCGAUGCCGCGUGAGUGAAGAAGGCCUUUGGGUUGUAAAGCUCUUUUGUAGGGGAAGAUAAUGACUGUACCCUAAGAAUAAGGUCCGGCUAACUUCGUGCCAGCAGCCGCGGUAAUACGAAGGGACCUAGCGUAGUUCGGAAUUACUGGGCGUAAAGCGCGCGUAGGCCGUUGAGUUAGUUAAUUGUGAAAUCCCAAAGCUUAACUUUGGAACUGCAAUUAAAACUGCUCGACUAGAGUUUGAUAGAGGAAAGCGGAAUACAUAGUGUAGAGGUGAAAUUCGUAGAUAUUAUGUAGAACACCAGUUGCGAAGGCGGCUUUCUGGGUCAACACUGACGCUGAGGCGCGAAAGUAUGGGUAGCAAAGAGGAUUAGAUACCCUCGUAGUCCAUACCAUAAACGAUGAUUGCUAGAUGUUGGAAAUUUAUUUUCAGUAUCGCAGCUAACGCAUUAAGCAAUCCGCCUGGGGAGUACGACCGCAAGGUUAAAACUCAAAUGAAUUGACGGGGACCCGCACAAGCGGUGGAGCAUGUGGUUUAAUUCGAAGAUACGCGCAGAACCUUACCAACCCUUGACAUGUCUGUCGCGAGUUUAGGAAACUUGACUUUUCGGGUCGGGCGGGACGGACACAGUGCUGCUUGGUGGCGUCACUCGUGUCGUGAGAUGUGGGUA